CAUAAAUUCCACUUGUAAGUUGAUGGAAUGGGUUAUUUCAUACAUCAUCAUAACCAAAGUGUUGAAUUAAUCAAAAAAUUACAGAUAAAUAAUACUGAAAUGGCUACUUUUACUAGCUCCAACGACUAACUAUUAAAGAAAAUCCAAGGCUAGAACCAAAAUUUGAAAAUAGCAAGUUUAUAACGGCCAUCCAAUCAGUGUGCGGCUGCAAAUCGACGUCCAAUGAGAAUGUAGUAUUUAGGUCGCCAAUCGGUGGUUUACUCAAAUACACUUGGCGCGGACGGUUAGUGUUCUAUUUGAAAUUGAGCAGUGAGCACCUAAUAUCUCCGGGUCAAACAAUGACAAUGUUUGGUUUGUUUUAUUUCCAAGACGGCUCCGUUAGAGCAGAAAAUACAUCCGUCAUACGUGAUGCAUACAGAAAUAAAAAAAUAACGGUUAACUGCAGGGAAGACCUCGAGUCGGAGCAGGGCUGGAUAGAGGUCAUUUGGCCUACACAACGGCGACAACAAGAGGCGAAGCCUAUUGCAGCCAAAUUGCUUUUCGUUGGAGACGCGGUCAGGGAGAAAUUCCCCAACACCAUGGUUAGUGAGAUCCGGGCCCUGCGGCGGAGGAAAUGCAAUAAUGAGGGCUACACCAAGGUUGCUCCUCAGUAGCUUUAUUAUAUAUGUUAUAUAUGUCAGACGUUUUAAAGUUAGGUGUUGUUGAAUGUAUGUUUGUAUUAAUAUUUAAAUUAAAGUUUUUGUUUGUACAAUUUAAGUGUUUUUUGUCAUGGAACAAAAUAGCACCCAUGGAGUGUACUAAAAUGGUACCAGAAAGAAGUGCAUGUGAAGUAUAAUAGUGAUGUAUUGUAAGUAUAUUUCUGUAGUAUUUAUAAAGUACUUAGCAGUAUAACAGUAUUGUACUUAAAAUACCCUUAACAUACACUUCCACUUUAAAUUAUAGUAUAAUAACUAUACUUUAAGUACUUGCCUUUGAUGCUUAAAUUGUGAUAAAAAUGUACUAUAAAUCAAUAUUAAAUACUUGUAUUAACAUAAUGGCACACUUAAAAAGUACUAAAUAUAGUCAGAAAGUGUAUUUGAAUUUAAUUUGAAAUAUUAUAGAGGUAUGAUAAUAGUUUGUUCAAAAUACACUUAUUCUGUAGUAUAAGUAGUGAUAAAAUACACUUCAUAUACACUUCCACUCUACAUUAUAGUAUUAUAACAUUAUACUUAAAGUACAUGCCUUUGAUGCUUAAAUUGUGACACAAAUGUACUAUAAAUACAUAAUAAAUGCAUUUUUAUUUACAUAAUUGCACACUUUAAAAGUACUAAAUAUAGUCAGAAAGUGUACUUGAAUUUAAUUAGAAAUAUGACAGAGGAAUGAUAAUAGUGUGUUAAAAAUACACUUCUAUUAUGUAGUAUAAGCAGUGAUAAAAUACACUCAAUAUACACUUCUGCUCCUCAUUAGAGUAUAAUAACAUUGUACUUAAAGUGCAUGCCUUUGAUGCUGCAAUUGUGAUAGAAAUGACUAUAAAUACAUUUUAAUUAACAUAAUGGCAGACUUAAAAAGUACUAAAUAUAGUCAGAAAGUGUAUUUGAAUUUAAUUUGAAAUAUGACAGAGGUAUGAUAAUAGUGUGUUCAAAAUAGACUUAUAUACGACUAUCAAUUGAACCAUAAUGCCUU